rnacentral:rRNA from 1 species
AUUGAACGCUGGCGGCAUGCCUUACACAUGCAAGUCGAACGGUAGAGUAGCAAUACUUGAGAGUGGCGAACGGGUGAGUAAUAUAUCGGAACGUGCCCAACUGUGGGGGAUAACGUAGAGAAAUUUACGCUAAUACCGCAUACGAUCUAAGGAUGAAAGCGGGGGAUCGCAAGACCUCGCGCAGUUGGAGCGGCUGAUAUCAGAUUAGCUUGUUGGUGAGGUAAAAGCUCACCAAGGCGACGAUCUGUAGCUGGUUUGAGAGAACGACCAGCCACACUGGGACUGAGACACGGCCCAGACUCCUACGGGAGGCAGCAGUGGGGAAUUUUGGACAAUGGCGCAAGCCUGAUCCAGCCAUUCCGCGUGAGUGAAGAAAGGCC